GCUGCAUUAGCUCAGUUGGUCAGAGCAGUAGUCUUUCAUUAGGCUAGUCGCAGGUUCGAGUCCUGCAUGCAGCA
rnacentral:tRNA from 1 species